rnacentral:rRNA from 1 species
UGCAGUCGAGCGGACAGAAGGGAGCUUGCUCCCGGAUGUUAGCGGCGGACGGGUGAGUAACACGUGGGUAACCUGCCUGUAAGACUGGGAUAACUCCGGGAAACCGGAGCUAAUACCGGAUAGUUCCUUGAACCGCAUGGUUCAAGGAUGAAAGACGGUUUCGGCUGUCACUUACAGAUGGACCCGCGGCGCAUUAGCUAGUUGGUGGGGUAAUGGCUCACCAAGGCGACGAUGCGUAGCCGACCUGAGAGGGUGAUCGGCCACACUGGGACUGAGACACGGCCCAGACUCCUACGGGAGGCAGCAGUAGGGAAUCUUCCGCAAUGGACGAAAGUCUGACGGAGCAACGCCGCGUGAGUGAUGAAGGUUUUCGGAUCGUAAAGCUCUGUUGUUAGGGAAGAACAAGUGCGAGAGUAACUGCUCGCACCUUGACGGUACCUAACCAGAAAGCCACGGCUAACUACGUGCCAGCAGCCGCGGUAAUACGUAGGUGGCAAGCGUUGUCCGGAAUUAUUGGGCGUAAAGGGCUCGCAGGCGGUUUCUUAAGUCUGAUGUGAAAGCCCCCGGCUCAACCGGGGAGGGUCAUUGGAAACUGGGAAACUUGAGUGCAGAAGAGGAGAGUGGAAUUCCACGUGUAGCGGUGAAAUGCGUAGAGAUGUGGAGGAACACCAGUGGCGAAGGCGACUCUCUGGUCUGUAACUGACGCUGAGGAGCGAAAGCGUGGGGAGCGAACAGGAUUAGAUACCCUGGUAGUCCACGCCGUAAACGAUGAGUGCUAAGUGUUAGGGGUUUCCGCCCCUUAGUGCUGCAGCUAACGCAUUAAGCACUCCGCCUGGGGAGUACGGUCGCAAGACUGAAACUCAAAGGAAUUGACGGGGCCCGCACAAGCGGUGGAG